rnacentral:rRNA from 1 species
GACGAACGCUGGCGGCGUGCUUAACACAUGCAAGUCGAACGGAAAGGCCCUGCUUUUGUGGGGUGCUCGAGUGGCGAACGGGUGAGUAACACGUGAGUAACCUGCCCUUGACUUUGGGAUAACUUCAGGAAACUGGGGCUAAUACCGGAUAGGAGCUCCUGCUGCAUGGGGGGGGUUGGAAAGUUUCGGCGGUUGGGGAUGGACUCGCGGCUUAUCAGCUUGUUGGUGGGGUAGUGGCUUACCAAGGCUUUGACGGGUAGCCGGCCUGAGAGGGUGACCGGCCACCUUGGGACUGAGAUACGGCGCAGACUCGUACGGGAGGCAGCGGUGGGGAAUCUUGCACAGUGGGCGGAAGCCUGAUGCAGCGACGCCGCGUGCGGGAUGACGGCCUUCGGGUUGUAAACCGCUUUCGCCUGUGACGAAGCGUGAGUGACGGUAAUGGGUAAAGAAGCACCGGCUAACUACGUG